rnacentral:rRNA from 1 species
UACAGAGGGGGCAAGCGUUGUUCGGAAUUACUGGGCGUAAAGGGCGCGUAGGCGGCCUGCUAAGUCGAACGUGAAAUCCCCGGGCUCAACCCGGGAACUGCGUCCGAUACUGGUAGGCUUGAAUUCGGGAGAGGGAUGCGGAAUUCCAGGUGUAGCGGUGAAAUGCGUAGAUAUCUGGAGGAACACCGGUGGCGAAGGCGGCAUCCUGGACCGAAAUUGACGCUGAGGCGCGAAAGCUAGGGGAGCAAACGGG